rnacentral:lncRNA from 1 species
CAGAUUUAGUUCCAAGCAACAGAUGCUACCUCAGGGGCAGAAAGGGAAUUUAUUGAGAGGAUUUGGGGUCACUCACAGAAUCCCAGGAGUGAACUGGGGAAUCAGGAUUGGAAAGUGAGCAGGAAGAAUCCUGGCAACUGGCCAGCAAUGGUAACCCAGCCACAGUGACACCACGGAACCGGUCUGAUGAGGCCAUGCUGGCGAUGGCCACUAGACACUGUAGUUGUCUCGCUGCCUCUGCUGCCCCAGAAAUAGGAUAUGGCUGCUCUUCUCAUUAGCUGUUGCUGGUAAUAAAUCACUUCACAACUUA